rnacentral:lncRNA from 10 species
CAAGUCAAUCAGCCAUCACGAAGUGCUGCUGUCAGCAAGGUCUCCAUGGCGUGUGGGAGGACACAAAGGAGAGGCAUCUAAAUUAAGCUGGAGUCAAGGAUGACCAUAAUGAGGCUCCUGGGACCAACCAUAGGUUAAAGAAAAACCAUCUGGUGCUGAGAAUCCAAAGGCAGCGGGAAAUCCUCAACAGGAACUGGAGAGGUUGGAGAAAUAAUAGAGCAGAAGCCACCUGGAAGCAGGGGCCCAAACAACAGGGCAGGUUGUUAGCUGCAUUGCACAUAGAAGGGUAGAAGAGGAAGAAUGAUUUUACUUCUUGACAAAGAAGAAGAAGGAAAGACGUCUGCAGGGUAAGCAUGUCUGGGAGUCCCUGCCACCUGCUGCCAUUCAUUUAAUCAUCCCUGGGAGCCGGACUGCAGGCCCUGUGCCAGGCUGUCAGCAGCAGAAACUGGCAAGGAGAGAGCUCACUCAGCAGCUAUUAGAUACCAGGGCCUGCCCACCAGUUACAGUGUGAACUGGGGACUGGAGGAACAGGAAGCAAUGGCUGAUCUCAGCAGUCAGCAGGAGGAAAAGUAAGGCAGAACUGAAAUGUAUGAUGUGUUUACUUUGUUAUCAGCACUGUGUCAUGCUAAGUACCUUUGAAAUGUCUCUUCUUCUCAUUCCUCGAAAUAGUCCUACUAAGUAGGUCCAUGACUCUCUCCUAGUGACAAUGAACAUUUCUACGAUGCUUACUAAUGACAGACAGCACAACACAGAGCAUGAAACAGCCUCUCCCCAGGAACAGAG